rnacentral:lncRNA from 1 species
CAUAAAAAAACAUCAAAAACAUAAACAUAAACAUAAAGUAACUUACGGGUAAGCGAACACCGCGCCAGAGGUUCAGACAGAACACAGACAUACAUAAAGAACAUAAAGUAACUUACGGGUGAGCGAACACCGCGCCAGAGGUUCAGACAGACUUGUUGCUGUAUUUUUUUUUUAGGUUGGAGUGGGUAGUCCUUCCCUUUACAUGACAAAAUGGAUACUCUGAUACAUCUUGUAACGUGGUAAGAGGUGGAAGGGGGCGGCUUACGCCGCUUUCUAUGAAGGCAAUUUAUACACGACUGUAAUGUGGAAUGGGUCGAAAGGGGGGCGACUUACGCCCCUUCCAUGAAGGCAAUUUAUACACCAAUAGUUACAAUUUUUCC